UACGUAGGGGCCGAGCGUUGUCCGGAAUCAUUGGGCGUAAAGCGCGUGUAGGCGGCCUUUUAAGUCCUGCGUGAAAUCCUGCGGCUCAACCGCAGACGGUCGUGGGAAACUGGAAGGCUAGAGUGCGGGAGAGGAGAGUGGAAUUCCCGGUGUAGCGGUGAAAUGCGCAGAUAUCGGGAGGAACACCAGCGGCGAAGGCGGCGCGCUGGGCCGGAACUGACGCUGAGGAGCGAAAGCGUGGGGAGCAAACAGG
rnacentral:rRNA from 1 species